rnacentral:rRNA from 1 species
UACGUAGGGUGCAAGCGUUAAUCGGAAUUACUGGGCGUAAAGCGUGCGCAGGCGGUUAUGUAAGACAGAUGUGAAAUGCCCGGGCUUAACCUGGGAACUGCAUUUGUGACUGCAUGGCUAGAGUUUGGCAGAGGGGGGUAGAAUUCCACGUGUAGCAGUGAAAUGCGUAGAGAUGCGGAGGAACACCGAUGGCGAAGGCAGCCCCCUGGGCUAACACUGACGCUCAGGCACGAAAGCGUGGGGAGCAAACAGG